rnacentral:RNase_P_RNA from 1 species
GCGGAUGGCCGGAUGACCGCGGGCGGCAACGUUCGAGGAAAGUCCGGACUCCAUGAAGCGACGGUGCCGGGUAACGCCCGGCCGGGGAAACCCGAGGGACAGCGCCACAGAGAACAGACCGCCGCGCUCUGGCGCGGCAAGGGUGAAACGGUGGGGUAAGAGCCCACCGCGGGGCUGGCAACAGCGUCGGCACGGCAAGCCCCACCGGGAGCAAUGCCAAAUAGGGGUCCCGCGCGGCGAUCGCCGCAGGCCGCUUCAGCCCAGGGACCCGGGUUGGCAGCUAGAGCGCGUCGGCAACGGCGGGCCCAGAGGAAUGGUCAUCCAAGGGGGCAACCCCUGGACAGAAUCCGGCUUACAGGCCAUCCGCGCAA